UACGUAGGGUGCGAGCGUUGUCCGGAAUUACUGGGCGUAAAGAGCUCGUAGGUGGUUUGUCGCGUUGUUCGUGAAAACUCACAGCUCAACUGUGGGCGUGCGGGCGAUACGGGCAGACUUGAGUACUGCAGGGGAGACUGGAAUUCCUGGUGUAGCGGUGGAAUGCGCAGAUAUCAGGAGGAGCACCGGUGGCGAAGGCGGGUCUCUGGGCCGAUACUGACGCUGAGGAGCGAAAGCGUGGGGAGCGAACAGG
rnacentral:rRNA from 1 species